UACGUAGGGGGCAAGCGUUGUCCGGAAUCACUGGGCGUAAAGCGCGUGUAGGCGGCCAGGCAAGUCCGUUCUGAAAGCCCGAGGCUCAACCCCGGGAGGCGGAUGGAUACUGCUUGGCUCGAGUCCGGAAGAGGCGAGUGGAAUUCCCGGUGUAGCGGUGAAAUGCGCAGAUAUCGGGAGGAACACCAAUGGCGAAGGCAGCUCGCUGGGACGGUACUGACGCUGAGACGCGAAAGCGUGGGGAGCAAACAGG
rnacentral:rRNA from 1 species